CAUCAGCGCGAUGUCAGGGGACGU
rnacentral:miRNA from 1 species